rnacentral:rRNA from 1 species
GGGGGAAUUUUGGACAAUGGGCGCAAGCCUGAUCCAGCAAUGCCGCGUGAGUGAAGAAGGCCUUCGGGUUGUAAAGCUCUUUCAGUCGAGAAGAAAAAGCUGCAGUGAAUAACUGUAGUUCAUGACAGUAUCGACAGAAGAAGCACCGGCUAACUACGUGCCAGCAGCCGCGGUAAUACGUAGGGUGCGAGCGUUAAUCGGAAUUACUGGGCGUAAAGCGCGCGUAGGCGGACUGUUAAGUCGGUUGUGAAAGCCCUGGGCUCAACCUGGGAACUGCAUCCGAUACUGGCAAUCUAGAGUUUAAGAGAGGGAAGGGGAAUUCCUAGUGUAGCAGUGAAAUGCGUAGAUAUUAGGAGGAACAUCAGUGGCGAAGGCGCCUUCCUGGCUUAAAACUGACGCUGAGGUGCGAAAGCGUGGGUAGCGAACGGGAUUAGAUACCCCGGUAGUCCACGCCGUAAACGAUGUCAACUAGUUGUGGGGCUUAUUAAAAAGUUUCGUAACGCAGCUAACGCGAUAAGUUGACCGCCUGGGGAGUACGGUCGCAAGAUUA